UAUUCUAUAAAAGGGACUCCCUCACUAUCAUUAGAGAGCAUCGCCGUCUACUGAGCAACCACCUUGCUGCGAGCAUCAACUCUAGCCCAUCAUUUAUGUAUUGAGGAGCGAGCCAUUAUUCUAUAAAAGGGACUCCCUCACCUUCAACGCCACAAGCCGAGCCAACCAAAGCAACAUAAGCCACAAGCAGAACAGCCUCGCAACAUGUGCUACUUCUAGUUGAGCAUCAUUUGAGAUUGAGCACCGCCUCAUAUCGAGUAUCAGUCCUAGACGACAUCUAGUUACUUCGGCCUACACAUGGAUUGAAUUUCAAGUCUCCAGCCAAAAGACUCUCUUGACUGAAGACUUGGGGGACUAUUGUUUAUACCAUACUUAGGGCCUCCCUAUUUAGAUCUCGUAUAAAUACUCGGGGGACUCAAAUGUAAUUAUGUAAUAAAUAGAUGGGCAAAUAUGUAAUAAGUGAGGAGCCCUUAUUCUAUAAAAGAGCCUCCUCACCCUCACAAACCUCAAGCCCUCUCAUCCUCUCAAAGCUCUCACUCUCAUAUUCAGAGCUCUCUCUCCCACAGAAAUACAAUAUCAGUGUGAACGCAGCCCAAACCUUGAGGUGAACCACGAUACAUCUUGUGUUAUUUACAUUUCUUACAGAUUCACAGUCGGAUUUACGUUGUUCCAAGACAUCUGGUUUUGUGCAUCAACAAAACUAAUUAUAAAUAAAAACACAACAAAACCAAAAGGGCGAAACAAGAAUAAAAAGAAAGCUGCGUAAUUAGCAGCUAAUUAAACGGACAAUACACUAGGGCUAUCAUAUGAAGAUCCCAAAAGAUAUCGAUCUCAGAAGGAAGUUGUUCUUCCGUUACCCCAAAAGAUAUCGAUCUCAGAAGGAAGCUGUUCUUCCAUUAUUCAUCAAAGAAAUGCAAGUGAAGUGGUUUAGGGUUUGAAGAGGAGAGGCUGCAUUCGAAUCCGCCGCUGCAUGUCCGGCGAUGUUCAUUGUCAUCAUCACUGUAAGAUCAACCGCACAAGGAGGAAAUUGAGCCACAUGAUCAAGUGAGUUUUCUUAUUAAUUCCCCACGUAAUGCAUGCAUGUGCUAAUUAUUGAUUAAAAUUCACGUAAUAUGAAAUAACUGAAUUAAAAUUCGCUUUUUCAUUAUCUUUGUAUUCUUUGUACUAUUUUCUUGAAUAUAUUUUAUUGGAAUAGGAUCAAAGAGCAAAUAUUUUUAUAAAUACUUUUACAUUGUUUUUAAGUUUUUUGAUUAUAUGACAUCCAAUAGUUCUUAUUUAUUCAUUAAAUAAACGACAUGAAUGCUCAUGUGGAUUUUAACUAAUAUUAAAGAUAAAGUAAAACUGAAAAUCCAGAUUUUAUAUUUUUUUUUCAAUUUUAUUUUACUUUAAUAUUAGUUAAAAUCCACAUAAGCAUCAAUGUCAUUUAAUGAAUAAAUAAGAACCAUUGGAUGUCAUGUAAUCAAAAGACUUAAAAAAGUGUAAAAGUAUUUGUAAAAAUAUUUGUCUCUUGAUCCUAUCCCAUAUUUUAGAUAUAUUUAUCAUUAAAAAUUUGUUGAUUGCUUUUCAAGGUUGGUUUAGAGAUUGCGUUAUCACAGAACUGUUUAUUCUGGUUUGUCAGUAUAUAAUACAGUGGCGUUCCAAUUAAUUUACAAGUUCAAGUUACGAGAAAACUUCCCUUCUAAGGAUUAAUUAUGUAAUAAAUCAAUUAAAUUAACUUUUAGUGUUUGACAAAUUAAUAUUUCAUGAAUUAGUGUUUGAUCCCUAAGCUAUUUCGGAUUUGGAUGAUUUCUGACAUGGUUAAUAUUUGAAGACUAACAAAAAAAAUAGGAUCAUUGUGUAAAUUACAUAUUAGAAAACAAAGCUAAGAAAAAUAGGUUAAGAAAGUUCAAAUAAAAGUGUUGCUGGUUAUUUAGGCCGGCGUUAUGAUGUGGAAAUCCACCGGAGUUUUUUGCUUUUGCUCAACGCUCAAUGGUUCGAUUUCUAAAUUGGUGAUGCUAUCUAUAUCCGUAUUUUUAUUAUUCACACAUUGUUCUUAAUUUUCAAUCUCAAAUAAAAUGAAUUGAAAAAACCAUUAACAA
rnacentral:lncRNA from 1 species